GGGUUGNAAACCUCUUUUCUGGGGGACGAAAGCUGACGGUACCCCAGGAAUAAGCCUCGGCUAACUCCGUGCCAGCAGCCGCGGUAAGACGGAGNANGNAAGCGUUAUCCGGAAUUAUUGGGCGUAAAGGGUACGUAGGCGGCUGGUCAAGUCUGGGGUCAAAGGCCACAGCUCAACUGUGGGAAGGCCCUGGAAACUGACCGGCUAGAGUGAGGUAGGGGUUGCGGGAAUUCCCGGUGUAGCGGUGAAAUGCGUANAUAUCGGGAAGAACACCUGCGGCGAAAGCGCGCAACUGGGCCUUUACUGACACUGAGGGACGAAAGCUAGGGGAGCGAAUGGGAUU
rnacentral:rRNA from 1 species